UUUUGGGAUAGUAAGAAAUACAGAGGAAACUCUACCAAAAUAUUCCUAGAAGAAAAAAAAGAAUGAGAUAUAAGUUCAUAAAAGUCUUGAAAGGUCAUGUCAACAGUAAUGAUGAGAUUUGACUAAGUUGCAAGUACGUAUGACUUCGAGAAAUAAAGUUAACAGUUGGAUUGAUAAUAAUAGUAAUGAUGAGGUCGAUAUCAAUAAGGUAAAUUUAUCAUGUUGGAUUAAACCUUUAAGAGAUACCCUCCAUGUCAUCCGUAAGAGGCAUCCUUCUUAUUUGGGAAAUGUUAUUUUAAAGAAACAAAUAUGAGCGGCAAAGUUUGGAAUUCAUUUGAACGGACCGGAAUACUUUCCAGCCACAUUUUACCGUAGAAGAGGCUCAUGUUGAAGAGCAAAAACGUCCACAAUUAAGUUUCACUUUUAUAUGAAAAGUACAAAGCAUACAACAAGUAGUUUAUGAACUAAAUAAUUUGUUCACGACUCAAGAACAAAUCUGGAGGUAAACCAUGUGAAUCAAGCACUAGAAGUCCUGUGGUGCUUGUCGGAUUCUAGUUUUUCUUCUGGUGGUGGUUGGAGAAUGCUUCAUGGUGACAUUUUUAUUAGUUUUAAUCAACUAAUUGGAGAUGGAAUUUGUGGAAAGAAAAACUCAACCUUGUGGGCUGUCUAGGAUCAUGUGUUUCACGCGUUGUUGAUGAGAUGCUAGGAUAAUUUGGAAGAGCUUGUGAUACUAAAGGAUGAUUUAGAAAAAGGUGGCAAAUCUUAACAAAAUAUUUUAUUGAGGUAUCGAGUGAACUGAUAAGUAGAGAUAAAUUACGACGAGUUUGCAGUUAAAAUGAGUAAUAGUAUGACUGAGAUAAAAGUACGGAGGAGGAAGAAUUAUGACAAAUUAUGAAGGUAUUGAUAAGAUAGCUUGUGAGAUAUUAAGGAUAAGAUUGAUCAGAAAGGGUGAAGGGUUAAAUACGCCUACUCCACAGAGUGUAAUUAAAACAUAGUAAGAAUCGUGAAUAAGGUUAAGAAGUGUUACAUUAUAGGAUGGAUAGCGAACAGGAUGUAACGUGAACACCACAAGGAUUGCUAUAGAAAUGAGUAAAGACUAGCAAGGAAGUAACUAAAGGAUAUGAUGUGAUUAGUAUGAAAUGGAAAACCAAAUGUAGAACGAAUAUGAAAGACUUACAAAGUCCUAUAGGGAAAGUUCAGAAUAGUGAUCAAGUGGUAACGAAAGUGAAAGCGAGCACAGGAAGAGAAUGAGUUGAUAGAAAGAAGAAGAUAAGAAGAAAGCGAGUGAGAUUACGGUAUAGCGAUGCGUUAUGACGUGUAUAGCUGAGGAAAUGGGUAAUAUAAGCGAUAGAAUUGUGAAAGACCGAACUAAGGGAAGAUGAGCAACGAGACCGAAUGAAUGCCAGAAAUGACUGGUAUGAUGAGAACAAAUAGAGAUGAACGGAAUAUGUUUCGAAAAUGAGAAAGGGGUUAUGUAGAAGUAGUGUUUUCCGAAGGAUACAGGAGUAGCAUGAGAUUCCUCGUGCACAGAAUAAAAGAUGGACAUAGACUGGAGAAAUGAAAGGGAUACUAAAGGAAGCACUCAAGACAGACGUAAAUAAUUGAGUACGAGUAUGAAAUAAACAGGAAAACAUAUAGCUAUGAACUUAAGGUGUAGUAUAACGAGAAGGCGAUAAGACAAGACCACUAUUAAAACGAGUUUGAUAUGAUUUUGAGUAAGAUUAGAAGUGAGCGUUGGGUAUACAACAAGGGUGAAAGCGCAUGAGGCAUAAAGGAGUAUUGCGUAUAUGUGACUUCACCUCGGAAAUAGUGAAAUCCUUAAAGGACAAGAAUUGUGGAUUUGCGAAACAACUGAUGUAUUGUGAAUUUAUUAGAGGAAACAGAUGAUAUCCGCUGAGAUAAAGAUAUUGUUAUAAGAAAGCUUGGGACAUUUAUCAUCAGAAUAUAAGUGCUACCUAAUUGGGAAUUCGAAACGACUAUAAGCACUAGCUAAUUACUGAUCGGAAUAAAUGGAAUGUGACUUUGGAUAAAUUGCUACAUUAAUUACAUUACUCGAGUACCAACCAUCAGAUAAGAUUUUGUACUAUAUAUUGAGAGUUCUCAUCGCCUCGUGAUUUGGUUAAGGUUUUGCACGUGGGGAAUCAAAGUUAUAAAUGAUAAAGAAAAGACCUGGACAUGGUAUAAGUACAACCCCAAAGAGGGGAAGCGGAUGAAAGCAAAGUAAGUACAAAUGGAAACAAUUGACGCUAUAAUAUAUCCCAUAUGGAUACUCAAACUUCAAGUGAGAUCCCAUGCUGAAACAAGUUGGUAAUAUCUAAAAGCUAGCGAUAAAUGAAUAGUAGCGAAGAUGGUAUUUGAGACAGUGCUGAGAAUUAUUGGUAAAGAUAUUGGAUAAUAUGACAUUAGAAAGUGGAUGCUUAUAAAAGGAAGAAUACGACAAGAGAAUGGUAACGAGUAACUUAAAAGAUAUUAUAAAGAGUAAAUACUGGAUUAGAGGUUAAGAUGUUGGCAACAGAGUCGUUUCCUAAUGAUAUUGUGACUUACAACUAGCAAAGGAGAAGGGACAGAAAAAUCUCCUACAGUAGGAUAUGAGGAAAUCAAAGGGUAAAUAAAGGAAGGGAAAGGAGUACGACAAGACAGAGAACAAGUGAGUUUUAGUACAAUAAGAUAUGUAGAGCAGAAUAAACCAGGAGAAGGAAAGACUAUGACUAAGAUUGGAUACACUUUGUACAAGAACAGUUAUGCAACCUACGAAUAUUUGUAUGCUAAGGAUAAGACCAAGUGAGUACUUGAUAAGAAGAGUGAGGAUUUAGUAAUAACAAUGUGGUUACGAUAUUUUGGAUACACUAAAGAAAGGUGUAAGAUGGUUUAAGGCAAAACUGCAGAGAUGAAAUUAGUACUGAGGGCAAAAGCCAUAGUUAAGGACUAGUUAUAUCAAUUGAAAGAUAUAAGAGAAGAAUAUAGGGCCUGCAUAAAGACUAGCGAGGCGACACUAAGGUAUUUUCUGGGCUGAUUUGAGCACCUACACAUACUCUUGUAAAGAUUGCAAUAGGAUGUGUGAUAGGAGAACUAAGAGAAAAUUUGAGUAAAGGGACAAUAGAAGAGUUUGAGUCAAAAAUAAAGAAACGACACGAGAUAAUAUGCCUAAAGUAUUGCCAGUUAGGUUAAGGGAAAUUAUGAAAUGAUUUAACCGAGGCAAUCAGAACAAGUGAGUUACAGGAUGACAGUGAAGUUAUAAUAUGAGGGAACUCCAGCGCUACUUGAUAGCCAACUCUAAAGACUAAGAUCAAGAGCUAGAAGCAAGGUGACAGUUAAAAUCGUAUAAAAGAAAGUCGAGAAGUGACACAUGAUACAGAAGAUUCCAGAAUAUGGACUGUAACAGCAGAGCAAUGCAAGUUUAUUGGAGUAAAAUAAUGUUAUACCUUGGAAAAUGACGUUUUAUGCGUAGAGUUUGUGAAGGGUCUACAAAUUACCAGAGGUAUGAAAUACUCCAAGAAUUGUAAAGUCUAAUAAAUCGACGAGGGACGUUUGUGCGUUAUAAAAUCUUAUAUGAAGAUUAAGAGGCAAGAUGAAAUGAACGAUAUAUCUUAAAGGAGUAACUAUAGGAGAAGAAAGAGUCGAGUGAUGACUAAAGAGCACCAUGAAUAGAACUGAACGGUAUGCAGACAAGAGCAAGAGAAAAUGUUACGGGAAUGGUUAUUUGGAGAUCUGGAAUCCGUUAUAAUAAAUUGAAGGGAAUCGACCGACGAAAGAGGCAUGUGAGGGGCAUAAUUCAGUAAAAAACAACACUUGAGGAAGUCUUUGGAAUGCAAGAUUAGCUUAACAUUCGAGGACGAAUGUUCCUAAGGGGGGAAGGAUGUUACAUGCCGUGUUCUCAUGCGUUGGAAAGUGUGCAAGUUAAAUGAUAUUAGUAACGGAGACGAGGUUAUUCCCCGAGCUUAUAGGUGGUUAAAGUAAUGGUACACAUGUAUCGUAAGGAUUUGAAGUUAAACCAAUCGAAAAAAAUAAUUUUGUCGAGUUUCAAAAUUUAUUCGAAUAAAAUACGGUCCACGCUAUAAUAUCCCGUAUUUUUGGACCAAGAAAUGGAACCGUCCAACAUGAGCGGUUUUACCGAGGCCAUAGGAUUUGGUUAUAUUCAAGUACGAAAAUCAAAAGCUUGGUGUAUAUGAGGAAUGAAGUCCAAAAAUAAUUUAGGACUUAACAAGUAUGACCACGGUGAUUGAGAAUAAUAUUUUGUGUAUAUCAAAAGAGACUAUGGACGAGUGCUUUAUCACAUAAUCGUAGCAAUGAGUAUAUGAAGUGUAUUAAAAAUAAUUGUUAUUAAAGUGAAUUGAGAUCAAGAAAUUAACUAUGUGUAUAAUUGGUUAGAGGUUGGAUUUUAAGUGGAGGUUUAGAAUUGAAUAAAUUAAGCUGAUAACACCUUUCCAAUACGUGGCAGUAGCUAAACAAAUUGAUAGCAUUACGUUCUUAUAAGUGUAAUAAAUCAAGUGCACUUGAAAGUGCAUAGUGCCACAUGAAAAUAAGGAGACAAAUGAGUCAAAUGAGGAUUUGUAGAUAAUUUCAAGGUGACAAGGAUGUCCCCACGUGGCUUUAUAGAAAGGAGCAGCAAGUGACUAGUACAAAUUGUCAUUUGGUGGCAUCUUUAUAGCCAAUUUCUUAGUGAUAGAGUCUUGCCUUUAAUUGUGUGGAGCCGUGGCCUUAAAUAGAGGAAUUCUUCACUUAAUCUUUCAUUUUAGUGAUAUGGAAGUUAAUAAAAUAGGGCUGCUCUCUGCGGAGCCAUGACAAACAAGAACGAACAGAGGAUUGGUCAUGAUUUCGGUCUCGUUGUUCCAUUUUGUGGUGUUGUUGAAUCCGGGUUUUCUUCGUAGUGAAGUAAGGUGGAAGAAAAUUAUUUCUUGGAAUAUAAGACUUGCAGGUUCAAGAAAUGAGACAUAGGAUGAGUAAGUAAGCGACGAGGUACUCCCAGUUGAGUUGAGGACAGAUGGAAGAUGUUCCAGUGCAGAUGGCAAGCUCCAUGUGUUCCCGGAGUGCUGCCGAGUCAGAUUCUGUAUGUUAUGCUUUUGGGAUCUUAUUAGAGACUUUGCAGACAGUGUCGUGGGUAUUGGUUGUCGGUCUGUGUACGUAAUGAAUUUUGUAUGACCACAAAUUUGUUCGGCUUGAAAGCCACGAGAAAGAAUAUUUCUGAAAGAAAAGUUUUGCUAUGUACUUUAUUAUUUGUUUUAAAGAAAAAAAAAGUUGACGUGAUUUUAUGUGCAACGAGAGUCUGAGGGUUCGCUCGGCCCUAAGUAAGGGUCGGGUGCCCAUCACACCCCAGCGAGGUCGGGGUGUGACAGAUAUGAUGAUACGGUGAUGGCGGCCAGGAUGGCAUAUGAUGACUUUAUUCACCGAGUCCCUCACUAGAGGGCCGGGACACGUUAUAUAUAUAUGCAUGAUGAUGAUAUGAUUUUAUUUACCGAGUCCCUUACUAUAGGGCCGGGACAUGUUAUAUAUAUACAUAUGUACAGGAUGAUUACCAAAUUAUGUCACUACGUCCCAUAACGGGUUGAGUAUGAUAUAUGAUGUUGACAUGCAUGAAUUAUGUUUCAAAGGCAAAGUGUUUUGGUAUUCUGAACAUUGUACUUGUUUCCUGUACUCCUUAUUUCAGAUAUGAUCCUUUUACUGUAUU